rnacentral:rRNA from 1 species
GCCAACGAUCAUACCACGUUGAAUACACCAGUUCCCGUCGGAUCACUGAAGUUAAGUAACGUCGGGUGUGGUCAGCACUUGGAUGGGUGACCGCUUGGGAACACUACGUAUCGUUGGCUCUU